AAUGAAUGUAGUGUGUGUAUAUAAUGCAGUGUGUUUGUGUAAUGUGCAUUAUAUAAACACACUACAUUAUAUACACACACUACACAAAC